GAUGAAGAACGUAGUGAAAUGCGAUAAGUAAUGUGAAUUGCAGAAUCCAGUGAAUCAUCGAAUCUUUGAACGCACAUUGCGCCCGCCAGCAUUCUGGCGGGCAUGCCUGUUCGAGCGUCAUUUCAACCCUCGACCUCCCUUUGGGGAAGUCGGCGUUGGGGACCGGCAGCACACCGCCGGCCCUGAAAUGGAGUGGCGGCCCGUCCGCGGCGACCUCUGCGUAGUAAUCCAACUCGCACCGGAACCCCGACGCGGCCACGCCGUAAAACACCCAACUUCUGAACGUUGACCUCGAAUCAGGUAGGACUACCCGCUGAACUUGAGCAUAUCAAUAAGCGGAGGA
rnacentral:misc_RNA from 1 species